UAGGGAAUCUUCGGCAAUGGACGAAAGUCUGACCGAGCAACGCCGCGUGAGUGAAGAAGGUUUUCGGAUCGUAAAACUCUGUUGUUAGAGAAGAACAAGGACGUUAGUAACUGAACGUCCGCUGACGGUAUCUAACCAGAAAGCCACGGCUAACUACGUGCCAGCAGCCGCGGUAAUACGUUGGUGGCAAGCGUUGUCCGGAUUUAUUGGGCGUAAAGCGAGCGCAGGCGGUUUCUUAAGUCUGAUGUGAAAGCCCCCGGCUCAACCGAGGAGGGUCAUUGGAAACUGGGAGACUUGAGUGCAGAAGAGGGGAGUGGAAUUCCAGGUGUAGCGGUGAAAGGCGUAGAUAUAUGGAGGAACACCAGUGGCGAAGGCGGCUCUCUGGUCUGUUACUGACGCUGAGGCUCGAAAGCGUGGGGAGCAAACAGG
rnacentral:rRNA from 1 species